AUGAUUCUGAGCUUUUUCUUUUUUGAAAUGAUUUGUUCGUUUAUUAUGGGAUCUUGCAUAUUUUACUAGUGCAAGUCUGAAAUGUGAAAUAAUUUGUGCUGUUGGUUUAGAAGUCUAAAAUCUGAAUUAGAUUGAACCCAGAAUCCAAAUUCAAUGGAUGAUUGUGUUGUGGUGGAUUUCAAAUCCAAGUGAUGAUUUUUAGGUAUCAACUCGAAAUGGGAAGAAUAGAUUAUUGAUAUUAGUAAUUUCUUUCUCGUGAUCUGUGAAAAUUCUUUCACAAUGUUGCUAAUUUUGUUGUCAAUUCCAUAUAUUUUAGCCGCUUUAGCUUUGGGCAGAUUUUCUG
rnacentral:misc_RNA from 1 species